UAAGUUAAUCGGUUCCAAAGGAUUUUUACCUGUUAGUUACAAGACGUUAACUCCAAAACAUAGAUGGGCAAGGGAGCUAAAGCUUGCCUGAGAAAAGGCUUUGCGACCUUCGGCAUCACUGAGGUUCUCGUUGGCUAAUCUUUGCACACACUGCUUCUUUCCGGAUGCUCUUGUUCACAUAAGAAAACAACGCGGCUUUUGCUUAUUGCUCAUUCAAGGUGUUCAUUGAAUCGGCAACUCUGCCCCACCCAGCUACCGAAGAGCUAGGCUGCUGAAAUCGACACCAGGGCACAGCUGCCUUGUCUGAAACUCAAGUCCAGGGAUGGUGGUGGAAGGAGAGGAGGACACUGGGAAAUCCUCACAUCUGCCACUUUGGCUCCUAUUUUGUCGGUCAGGAUGAAUCUCUUGGCUCUUUCCAACCGCUGGAGUUGGAGAACUGCUGUGUCAGUUGUGCCUGGAAGGGGAAAGAAACUGGAGAGAGAAAAUAAUUUCUGCCGCACCCCAUUCUCAGUGACCUGGAACUUUGGAUGAUUUCCUAGAACAAUGUAAGAAACUGAUCUCAAGAGGCAAAGCUAAGGCUACAUAACAGGCGUAGGUCAUGCACUGGGGCGCCGCGCCAAGGCUGGAGGCUCAGAGUGAGGAGCCUCAGAGAUCUGUAAGCCAGUCAGAAAGCAAGGGCCAACGUCCUGAGAAAGUCCUCCUGUGGCCAGGACCCAGCUGUCUCGAGGUCUGCUUUAGCUGACCUUGUUUUCGUAUGAAGUGGGACUGUACCCUCAAAGCAUGUUGAAUGGAUCGGAUCACUUGACAUCUGAAACCCAAAUUCCAGAAUUCUCACCAUAUGUAUGUGGUGCCCAAAGAUGUCAGAAGAGGACAUCUGAUCUCUCGGGAAUAGAGUGACAGUUACCAUCUUUGUUCCAAUCAACUCAUCUUUUGCCAGUGAAAGGUGCUUUCGGUUGGCCAUUGGAUUCUUCUGUCGUGGUUCUUAUAAGUAAGCCUUUAUAGUUUAUAUCUGAAGUGGCCACAUAUUCUGAACAUAUCAUGUCUCAAUCUGGACUUGGAGUUGGCCAUCUUCCUAGGGACUUCCGAUCCCUUUCCACAGGAAGUAGUAUUGGAGAUGACAGCCUGAUUACUGCGAGUUCCCUGACACCAGUUGGGACACUAUUUUUAGCACUUAAAACAGACAGAGAUAGAAAUAUUUUUAAGAUGGAACAUAUUCCUAGCACAGAGGAGAGGAACACUGGAGGUGUCCAAUGCCCUGGUCUGCUGAGGAGAGAAACACUGGAGAUGUCCAAUGCCCUGGUCUGCUGAGGAGAGGAACACUGGAGGUGUCCAAUGCCCUGGUCUGCUGAGGAGAGGAACACUGGAGGUGUCCAAUGCCCCGGUCUGCCGAGCCGUUUCUAAAGACAUGGAACAAGCAAGGGGACAAGCACUCACCUCUGAAAACAACUGCAUAGCAUCAGGCCAAGGUGGACUUUCUGAUCAGACUGGAAGGACAGAAGGGCAGAAAGACAGAAGGACAUGAUGAUGAGGACCUGUUGAUGAGUGUCACUUGUACUCUGGGUAUGGUGGAUCUCCAAGUGAAAUCUCUACAGGCAUGAGCUUUCUCCACAGAGCCUACUACAGAUUCACGAGGCGUGUAAAGAUGAGCAGCAUAAAGCCCAUUGGAUCCUAGAAGUGCUCAGGCUUUCAGAGUUUUGAUCUGUGGAGAGUCACUUGAACUGUCCCUUGGCAGUAUUUUGAAGUCAGUGGAGCAGAUCUUGACACGGGCAAAUAAGUAUGCUGCGGGUCCAAGGACCAGGAGAGCUCAUAAAAGCAUAUAGGAAUGGGA